rnacentral:rRNA from 1 species
AUUGAACGCUGGCGGCAGGCUUAACACAUGCAAGUCGAGCGGGCCCUUCGGGGUCAGCGGCAGACGGGUGAGUAACACGUGGGAACGUGCCCUUCGGUUCGGAAUAACUCAGGGAAACUUGAGCUAAUACCGGAUACGCCCUUAUGGGGAAAGGUUUACUGCCGAAGGAUCGGCCCGCGUCUGAUUAGCUUGUUGGUGGGGUAACGGCCUACCAAGGCGACGAUCAGUAGCUGGUCUGAGAGGGUGAUCAGCCACACUGGGACUGAGACACGGCCCAGACUCCUACGGGAGGCAGCAGUGGGGAAUAUUGGACAAUGGGCGCAAGCCUGAUCCAGCAAUGCCGCGUGAGUGAUGAAGGCCUUAGGGUUGUAAAGCUCUUUUGUCCGGGACGAUAAUGACGGUACCGGAAGAAUAAGCCCCGGCUAACUUCGUGCCAGCAGCCGCCGUAA